GGACCCCUCCCUGCCCAUCAGCAUUCUCUCCAGAAAAAUAGUUUCCCACAAGACUAAGGGAACAGACGAAGAAGCUGCGGCAGAUAGAAUGAACUGAGGCUGCACCUGCAGCCCUGGGAGCUGGUGACUCUCUGGCACUGUGUGUGUAGUUGGAGCGUUUUGGCCUUUCAUCACCCUCAAGCUUGUAAAACCCUGAGGAAGCUGUGACUCUGUUACUUACCACCUCGUUUCAUUUCCUGUUCUGAAUACAUUGGUCUGUGUGAAUGACCUUAGAACUGCCUAGAAGCAGAGCUGUGUCGUCUGGCUUCAGACUUUGAGUUGUGCUUCAAGUCCCAACCUCAAAGUGGUGACACUUCUCCAGCCCCUUGGACCAUGCAGAGACGUGCAUCACCCACCUACUUCUCUAUGUCUGGGCCAGCGGUGUUGCCUGGCUCCUUGGCGAAUCCCUGGUUUGCUUGGUUCUGGGUGACCUGACCACAGCAGAGUGAAGCAUCUCCGGAUGUCCUCAGAUGAAGUAAGACGAUAUAGCUCAGAUCCUGGAGGGGAGCAGGAAAUCCAAAUUGAACUCUCCCACAGAGGUCCUCGCUGGCGUUGGGCUACCCCAGGGCAGUGUGGACAGUGGGUGAAGUCCUGAGCUGAUGUGUGCUGUGGUCAUGAGCACAGUAAUGUCAAGGUGCCUCAGACCAUAGGAAUGGCAAAGCCUUCCCUGAGAGGCUCAGAGGGAUGGAAAACCUCCUCUGUCCGGACCUGGAAUGUUGACAGUGUGUGUAGAAACUGCCAAUUACAACUUCCUCCUCCCUGGUGACCGAAGCCUGAGACUGUGCCCCUACCAAGAUCCACUUCUGAGAUCAGCUAAAUCUGCCGCCUUGCUCAGUCAAGCGCCAUAAACUCUCCUCCUUGAUUCAGAUAUAAA